rnacentral:lncRNA from 1 species
UGGGAUAUGUUUUUCUGAACUAGAGAUGACAUCACUAGCAUCUGGUCUUUCUCUUUGAGACAGCUGAGAGAGUGAGGUGCCGUGAGAGAUGCAAUCGAUGGGGGGGUAGAGAGAGGUAGCCGACAGUGAGAAUGGUAAGGAAGAACGGAGCGUAGUGAGAUUAGUGGAUUGGUGAGGAAGAGCGUGAGGGAGAGAAUGAGAGAGCAUGUGUUGUGGUUGAGAAUGUUGCAAUUGAAAAUUUACUGUAACCUUUUAUGCUUGCCUCAAAACUCACCGUUUUGUGCUAACUGUUGUGCUCAAUGUUGUAAGAAUAUCGGAACUGUUAUAAAUUUGUUUCUAAAUAGAAAACUCUUUUGUGGAGUCAAUAUUUUGAAAACCAAAGUCUCGAGUUCUUUCUCGUGCGUGCCUGGCCAGCAUCCUAAACCUUACUGCUAGCCGGAGAAUGGCGUAAAACGGCGGCGAUCUUCUUCUUCAUCUUUUUCUCUCUGUCAUCGUUUCAGGUAACCUUGUGAUUAUGAGUUUCUUCUCUUUCUUAGCUUGCAAAAAUAGGUUUUGAUUUCUUUAAUUCGUAUUGUAGCCAUUAAUAUCAAUUUUUGUCCUGCCGGCAAUAUUUUUUUGUUCCUAGAGGUUGAAGCCCUUCUGUUCUUGUUCCAUUGGUGACUUUGCUCACUCAAAUUAAUUUUGUUCUGCAGAAUUUACAAAGUUCAAAUGGAUUCGUUUGGAUUACUAUUGAAUUUAGCUUUCAUUUCAACAUUCAUUCUAAUGUUUUACAAUUAUGUAUUUAGAUUUACUUUAAUUUUAUGUUUAAAGCUUCUGCAAUGAAUAGCUGAGCUUGGGUCUUAGUUUCAUUUUCUAAUUAACUUGUUUUAGUUUAUCUUAUAUGCUCACCAAGUGCUUGUUAUAUUGUCUGAUAGGUUAUAUAACAUUGCUGAUUCUAUAUUAAUAAUGUCAUGUUCCAUUUUCAGAAAUUAUAAUAUAAAAGUUUUUACAAUGGGGUGCAUCUACAAACUGAAUUGACUUGUAGAGUAAGAGCUUGGAGUAGUGUUGCAUUCUUGAAUAAAUGAAAGUUCAUAUUGUGUAAGAGCAUGUAGAUGUAAAGCAUCAUUACCAUUUCUACCAAGUGCUUUCAUUCCGUUCAGAUGCUCCACUUGAACUUUGGAAGGUGCCUCAUUCAAGUCCUAGCUAUAACUAAUAGCUCUGAUUAAUUAAGUUCAUGUGCUAGCUGAAACAGAUUUAAUUAAUUAAUUAAUUAAUUGUGUAUGUACUAAUUAUAUUGAAAGUAUAUGAAGAAAUUGUUUAACAUGAAUGACUUCUAAAUGACUUAAAAGCCUAGAGGAUAAGUGAAAUAAUGCUCAUUUCACUUGAAUGAGCCUAUUAAUACUUGUAUGUCUAUGAUUGUCAAUAUUGCUUAAGUGUUUCAGUUAAGUGGUUUACCUAGCAGGGAAAAAAAUUUAAUGGAAAACCUUAGAGUUUUAAUAGAAAUAUAGUUCACUAUGCAGAUAUAGUUAUUUUACGGUAUAUAAAUCAUGUUGUCCUAUUCUCAAUGUCCUACAACCUAUUUUAUUUUAUAUAGUCAUUCAUUUUUACGAUGGUUUUUUGUGUUUAUGAGUAUGGAAAUAGUGGGAUUUGGUGUACCUUAGCAUCUUUCGAAAAUUCUCUUUAAAUGCGGCAAACAAAAAUAUACAUAUAAUCAAGUUUCUUAAUCAUGUAUAUUAGGUUUGGGUACGAAUGUUUUCCUAUUCUAGUUCUAGGCCAAGUUUCUUCAUUUUGGUCUUCAGAUUUCCAGUAGGUUAAGCUAAUCAACUAUCAUAACUGGCUAGCUAGUUAUUGCCUGCCUUGUCGCCAUUACCGACGCCAUUACAUUGCAUGGCAUAGGGAAUAGUAACUAUGUGAUUAUUGGUGAUUUGUUGAGCUUAUUAUUGACCAAACAAACAUAUUCGCCUUUACCCACAACUUGGUUUGAUUAGUUACUGGACAAUAAAGAGCCUUAAUCUAUGCAUUGGCUUUCUUAUUUUUAUUUGGUUUUUCUUUCAACAAUAUUGUUGAUUUCUUAAUCAUUGGCUAUUUAAUGAAGCUAAUUAAAACUAAGGCUUCGGAUCACUUUCUUCUAACAACAAACAAAUGAGGAUAACCUAUCUCCUCUAAGCAAAUUUUUCUAAUAUCCUUGAUUUGUUAGGACCUGGAGGCCUGAAAUCCUCUAGAUUUUUUUAGCAUUGCCAAUGUUCCUUUUAUUCUGAAAAGGAAAAAAAGGUUAUAUCGUUUAUACCCUAACAGUAAAAUGGCCUUUGACUUAACAUGCCUUCCUGAGGAUUUGCAAGAUUCACAAGCAGCCUAGCCACCCCCCAACGCAAAAAAAAUAAAAAAUAAUAAAAAUAUAAAAUAUAAAAUAUAAAAACCCAAAUAGGAAGACUUUGCAACAUUCACAACGUGGUUACAUUUAAGUUAUUAAUUGUGUGUGUGUGUACUAGUUAUAUGUUGAUAGUAUAGGAAGAAGUAUUUUAACAUGGAUGACUUAAAACUUAUUGCUCAGUAAACAUAGUCUGCAUCAGUGCUAGAAAAUGUAUUCAUUGUUUGUAUUUUUUAUGGUUUUGAUUAAGAAAUGAAAUGUGAAAAAAUGCUACAUUGUAUUAGGAAUAAAUUGAAGAGAUUUAUGAUAUUUAUGUGUUAUUCAAGUUUCAGAUUCAAUUUUAAACUUUUGAUACAUGCAUUGAAAGCUUAAACUCCUUUAAGAAGUUAUUGAUAGACACAUGUUUUAUUAGUGUCAUCUUUGGAUGAUAGUGAGGAUCUUAUGUCUAUUAAUAAUUCUUGAAUUAUCCAGGCUCGGACAUUUUGGUAAUGCAUAGUUUUCUAUGGUAACUAGUACCUGAAAUUUUUUUCCCACAAAAAAUGGGCUUUUCAGUAGCUGCUCCUCAUAUUCUGGGUGCAUACUAGACGAAUGGGUGUCGUUUUGUUUUGGGAUAACACAUAAACACUCAUAUAUCUAUGUCAUGUACUUGAAGAACUAUAGGGAGAUGCUUCCGAAAUUUCUAUAAACGUAGAGGAAAACUUUAGAUACUUAAGGUUGAAGAAACUUAUGCAUUCUUGAGUGGGAUAUAGAGGACCACUUACCUUUUGUAAUAUGAAGGGAAUGUUGGAUAUAUUGAUGGGAGUGGAUGAGCUGAGUGGGAUGAAUGUAAACGGUUAUGAUUUUGCUGAGUUGACUUGGUUUUGAGUCUUGUAAUUUUGUUUAUAAAUGGAGUACUAUCUCCAAUGUUGGUUUAUAAAUAUGUUUCAGCUGGCUGACCUAAUUUUUUAUUUCUAGGUAACAGGCUUUAUAUAUUCGUAAUUGAUAGCCAAGUGAAGUUCUCAGCAGUGGGUGAGGAUAUUUCUUUACAGAAGGUAUUGGAAACUGUUUUUCACAUUAAUUAGUAUUGUAUACAUACUUUAAUUUCACAUCUUUUUCUCUGAUUCUUGUGGCUUUGCUUGCUUUCAUAUAUAUAAACAUUCUAAUGAGAUUAACAUAAAAUUGUAUAAUGAUUUUUUUUAAUUAUAAAUUGCGCGCACACGAAAAUAUCUUGUUUAGUAGUAGAAAUGAAGAACUAAAAUGAUUUAUUUAACUAAUUUUUCUAGUGCAUUAAAAGGAGAUAGUCAUGGACAAGAGUUGGGUUGGUUUGCCAAAUAGAUAUCCAAGUCAUAUACUGAUGGGGUUGAAAAAUUUAUAGAUUUUGCAUUUGAGAAUGUUGUUGGUGAUAAAAGAAUUUAUUGUCCUUGUAAGAAGUGUCGUAAUAUCGAUAUUUCAUUAUAAGGGAAGUGGCAAGAGACCAUAUCAUUACAAAUGGCUUUUGGUUAAAGUAUUGAAACUGGAUAUUGCAGGGUGAGCCAUCUUCAUCUUUGAAAUCUAACUAAGAAACAGGUUAGUCAUGACUCGGGUGCUGAUGAUAGUAUGGUUGGAGUGAUACACGAUGCAUCACAUAAUCAAGUGUUCAAGUUACACGCAGCAUUGUUAUGUUAUGGACUAUCAGUGACUUUCUAACAUAUGCCAACUUGUUUGGGUAGAGUAUUAAAGGUAAAUAAGCAUUUCUUGUUUGCCAACAAAACACUAGUUCUAAUUGGUUGAUACAUAAUAGAAAAUUUUGUUACUGGGUUACCGUCGAUUCUUACCAACGAAUCAUAGGUUUCGCAAAUAUAGUGUCUUUUGAUAAAACUAGGGGGUAGGGAUAAACGCCUUCUCGGUUGUCUUGAACUGACGUGAAAAAGCAGGUGAAUAAUAUAUUUACUAAGUAUAAGAUUGAAGACCUGAAAAGAGGAGAAUGAAUAAAAUGAAAGAAAUGAUAAGAUUACUUGGAAGAAGAAAAGCAUUUUUUAUGAACUAACGUAUUGGGAGUUCAACUUGAUUCAUCAUAAUCUUGAUGUCAUGCAUAUGAUCUACUUUCUUUCAUUUUCUCACCUCCCAAACAUCCAUUAUACAAUAAAGUUUUUUUAGAUUUUAUUGUUUCAUAGAAUUAUAUUUUGCAUAUGAUGAAAUAACUUAACAUUUUAGUAUUCAUUUGCAUAUAAUAAUUAUAAGUAAGAAAAAAUAAUUGCUUACAAUUACUACUAGUUUUAUUGUCGUGAUUACAAAUAAAUUGCUCAAAUUUUCUGCUUCAGCUAUCAAACCUUUUAGCUGCUUCCAGACAUGAAGAAAUUAAACCCAUAAUUUCUAGGUACAAUUGCAUUCGUAUAUGCCAUGAUACAUAUGAUAUGAUUAGAACCAAAAGGAGAAAUAAAUUUUUGGGACUUAUUGUGAUGGUGAUUAAUCUUUUUCUACCUUAACUUUGAUAAGGUUAUAAUUAAAUUUUAUAUGAUUAAAGUGGUCAAUGGUUAAAUAAAUAAAUAAAUAAAAUAGAUGAGGAUGGACUAAUGAAAUGACCCACCCCCGAACUCCACAAGGUGAGUCUAUGUAAUAUCGUCUUACUUGACUGAUAAUAAUCUAAUUAGUAAGGAUUUUACCGAAAAUUUGAUAGAGUCUCCACUUUGAAUAUAACAUUUCCAACCUGCAAAUGUGUAAAACAAGCACUCUCAAAAUAAAUCAGUAUACAACCAACUUCAUUGAUUAACCUCCUCAACUAUAUUACUGAAUAUUACCCAAAAUAUCUACAAAGUAUCAAAAGAUUAUUUAUACCUACUGUUGACAUAUAUUAAGCUAUUUUUAAUCACAAAAAAUAUUACAAAAUUAUAUAAUCCAAAAAAAAAAGAAAUCAAAAUGCCCUGACAAUAUAAUCUAUAUCUCCUAGUACCAUCACAUGGCCAAAAUUCAAAAUACUAUAGUUGCUAAGUCAACUGGUGUCUUGCAACCUCCUGAGGGGUGGGAGGGAAUUAUAAUAAAACGGGUGAGUAUAAAACUCAGUGAGCUCGGUGAGUGGAUAAUAGUUUUUGAAAAUAACUUACCAUAAAUAAUUAUACCACUUUUAUAUAUGAUUUUAUCAAACUGUAUGUAAGAAACAUGAAUAAAUUAUUUAACCUUUGAAUCAAGUAAUUGACAUUGAAAAGAAUACAUUAAGAGGUGCAUAAUAAUCAUGGAAAUUGUAUCACAAUAUAAAAUACAUGAUUAUGAAAUUAUCACAAAACAAGUACCUAAGGGAAUAAUCUUGUCGUACCUAGAGCUCAUACGGGCAAUGCAAUGACAUAUUCUCUAGGUACUGUCAUCCUCGGAGCUAGCACCGGUAGAUCAAUGAAGUGUCAUCUUAUAUAUCUUAUCAUAUCUUUGCAUGCAUAAACUAGUCCCCAAAAGACAAAGGUGCCCAAUCACAUAAUCCAAGGCCUCUGUGAGCCCCAAAGGCCCCUAUCUCGUCUGUAUAUUAGUAACUGAAUCUUUGUUAUCAUCAUAUUUCAUGCAUAAGCGUUCAAAAGGCAAAAGUGCCCAACUAGACGGCCCAAAGCCUCUCUGUGUGUUCAGACGGGCCCCAAAGUCCUCUCAUCUCAUCUGUAUAAUUGUAAUUGGAGGGGAAGGGCAUUGUUCAACGAGUUUGAGAACAAACUUAUAUAUAUACACACAUAAACAUUUUAAUCAUACUUUAAACUCUUAUUUCCUUUUCAUUACAUACUUUAAAUUUGAUUUUCUUUUCUUUAUAUUACUCUCAUGUAUAUACUCAAAAUCGAUAAUAAAACCAAUAAUCAUACUUUUUAAUAAUAAAUAUCAAUACUUAAAUAAAACCUAUUUCUAGAAAAUCAUUAGAUCGGAGCAUUAAACACUUAUUUCCCAAACAUGCUUUACUAUACUUUAAAAUCAUAAUAAAAUAUGAAAAAUAGGUUUUGCCUAUUUCACUCACCGUGACGAUAUUCAAACUCGGCUAUCAUUAAUGUCUGUAGGAUGGUUCUCACUCACUAUUCCCCCUAAAUCAAGGAUACGACAUAAUUACUUUCCAUAAAUGUGAAAUACAACUAACUGUAUGUAAUAUACUCGAAACGAACAUCUAUCCACAAUAUGCUACUCCUAUGUCUGUAACGUUACCAAAAAUACCCCCAAAAUCAUAAAUUGUCAAACAACCCUCAAAAUCAUAAAUUACCAAACUAUCCUCUAUAAAAUAUUAUUAAAAUAUCCACAAAGUCAGAAAUUAAAAAAUUACCAUCAAAAUAUAAAAUUAUCAAAAUGCCCUCGUCGGUCAAUGGUGAUCGGGAGUCAAGUGAUGGUGGUUGGAAUGGCCAAGAUAAAUGCUUUGGACCACGCUGAAUUUAAUGGUGGCAAAUUGACCAUUUCUGGUGACAUGGGUGAUUAAAAAUUGUAGAGGGUGUCGUGAGGGAGAAAACUAAGCAGUAGUGUGCCACAAGUUCGACGAAAUCUCAUCAAAUCGAGGUGGUAGUACCACAGCUCUUCACAUUCUUGAUCGGUGGUCUUUUAGCAGUUAUUUAGUGACCAUGAUGGUUAGGGAAUGACUAGCAUUGGUUGAGGAUUCGAUCGAUACCUUCUGUUGUCGAUAGAGUGGCCGAAAAUAGUAGUUAGCAGUGGGUGGGGUUUCAAUUCUAUCAGUUAGGUUGAUAGCUCUUCCUCUCUUUGUUUUUCUCUUUCCCUCGAUUCCGUGUCAUAACAAGUUUAAACUAGUUCAAACUCGAACCAUUUAACAAGCGUGUCAAAUUUAACAACCCACACUCAUUUAUUCAUGUUGAGUAAUUGAGUCGUAUCAAAUCUGCCAAUAACAAUUAUAAUAAUGACUUCUAAAACUUCAAGUCAAAGAGGAGGAUAAAAUAAUGCACUUGAUUAAACAUAAAAUGCAUAUGUUACAACUAAUCACUAUUCAAAAUAUUAAGAGUGGAGUAGCAAAUGUCAAUUUAUUUGGUUGCAAUCAAAUUUAUCCUAUGAUAAAUAGUGAUUAUUAAAUAAUAUAUAGAUCUAUUAUAUAGUAAAUUAAUAAUAUAUAUUAAUGAAAAUUUAAAAAUAAAUUAUUUAAAAAAGUCAAACUAGGUAAUGGACUUAAAUGUGAAAAUUUAAAAUAAUUUGGAGUUAUGUGUCAAAAUAUUGAAACUUUGUCAUUUUUUAAUGUGCAAGCAAAUAAUAGGGACUAUAGACUUAAUAAACUAUUAAAUCCAUCUAAGCCACUAAGCUACGUUUAUGUUAAAUCUAAUGGUUAGUAAUAGCUAAUAAGAAAAGGACAAAAAUUGGGGAAUGAUGUCACAGGGACACCAUAGUCGGACCCAUUAUUAAUGUUUAGUGCAAGUAUUUUCUGAAAUAACAACUACAUAAUUAUUAUCUUAUGUAUCUAAUGAGAUUAUUAAUUUAGUAUAUUGGCCCAAGUUAGAAACGUAAGAUUUUGUUAUUUAAUCAAGUAUAUUAAUUUAUAAAACAUUCAUUUAUUGAGAUUUUAUUGUACAUUACAUUUGCACACUUUAUUUUUAAUGUGAAGUAAAAACUAAUGUUACAUAUGAACUUAUUGCUGACAACAUUAGUACAUAAUUGCUGUCAUAAGAAAAUUUAUCAAUCCAGGAAUUUUGGAUUUUAUAAAGUCUUACAAGUGAAAAGAGUAGUUUAUAACAUUGUAAAUGUGACCUCGACCUGGAAGCGAACUCGGCUGUCAUAAAUUGAUCAAAGCCACACUUAACUUCUACUACUACUUGCAUUGUUACCACCGUCUUCAGCCUUCUGCUUUGCCCAUUCAGAAAAAAAAAAAAAAAUUAUAUAACUUUUGUCAGCCAACAAUUAUAAUAAACUAAAAACAUGUCCAAAGAUUCAAAAUUUUUUUUUUCCCUUUUUUUGGUUUUACCUCCUCUGACAUAUCAAAUCCUAUUGCCGUGAAAAGUUUCCCUUGCAGCACAUAAUUUUGCCACAGCAUCUCUCAUCUCCAUUCGCUCAGUUGGAGACUCCAUUGAGCAGGAAACCCCAAUUCCAAUUACAGCAGACAAGCAUUGCUCAGUCCUGACUCUUAUCUCUCCAUCACUAUUUCUUGCAAUUUCCUCAGUUAGAAGUGAAGGCUCAACAAUAUUCACCACUUCUUCUGGCAAAGCCCUUUUGGCAAAUUCAUGGAGGGUUAAGCCAUCAUUGAACAUGCUGUCCGUGGGCCGCUUUCCUGUGAACAUUUCUAGCAAAAGAAUUCCGAAGCUGUACACAUCACCUCGCAUGGAGACUUCGCCACCCGUACCGUACUCUGAAAAAAACAUGUUAGAUAUAUUACUCAGUUAGUUGCCACAUAUACGAGUUCUAACAAACAGCAGAUUAAUUCAAAAAAUGUAAAAUUACAAUAUCAAAAUAUCUAUCUAAAGAGGAAUAUAUAUAAUUACCUGGAGCUACAUAACCGACUGUUCCUUUUAUCCCAAUUGAGCUUGAUUGAGAUUGAGGAGCGGCACUUAGUGGACCAUCGGAUAGAAAUCGUGCUAGCCCAAAGUCACCCACAUGGGCAACCAUGUCAUGAUCAAAAAGAAUAUUGCUGGGCUUUAGAUCACCAUGAAUUAUUGGUGGUUGACUGUGGUGGUGGAGAUACUCGAUUGCAGAAGCUACAUCAAUGGCUAUGUCCAGUCUUUGAAUGAGAAUUACACUGCACGCUUCUAGGUGAUCAUUCCUCUGAUGCAACCACUCCUCUAGACUUCCGUUUUCCAUGUAUUCGUAAACGAGAGCCUUGAAAUCAGCUCCUUUAGAAUCAAUGCUUGAGCAAAUAGUGAUGAUUUUAAUGAGAUUCCGGUGGCGAAUAUUUCUCAAGGCUUCACAUUCUGCCACAAAACUCCUGAAACCCCCUUUCUGAUUAAGAUUAAUCACCUUCACAGCAACUACCAUUCCAUUUUCACUAAAAAUUCCCUUGUAAACAAUGCCAAAGCUUCCUUGACCAAUCAUGUUUGAUGUUGAAAAUUCAUUAGUUGCCUUCCUUAGCGCCGCGUACGAGACAAAUGGGAACUUUUGUUCUAUUAGCAACGAAUUAGAAUCUUUGUGUGCUGAUCUCCUUCUUCGAGCAUAAACAACAAGAAAGCAUGCUGAUAAGAUUAAACAUGACAUAAUGACUGGAAUUAUCACUUUGACUAGGAAAGUAACUUUUGAUUUUCUUGAUCCUUUCAAAGGACAUGAUGGUAAAUGUAAUUCAUCCAACCCUCCACAAAGAUUCUCAUUCCCAACCAGUGAAAUGCUUGUCUUAUUGUGAAAAACUCCUUUUGCUGGUACCUGGCCCUCAAAAUGAUUGUAAGAAAGAUCCAAAUAUUGCAAGAAUGGUAGAUUCUCAAGAUAUUCUGGAAUCUUGCCGGACAAAUUGUUACGGGAUAGAUCUAACACUUUCAAGCUUUUCAAGGAAAUCAGAGAAAGAGGAAUCCUUCCUCCAAAGGAAUUGCCUUGCAUAUAAAGAUAUUCUAAGCUUGUACAAGCACUUAGAGUCGCAGGAAUCUCACCAAAAAAAUGGUUCAUGGAAAUAUCUAAUCGAGCGAGAUUCUUCAAGUUUCCCACCCGAAAAGGAAGAUAGCCACUGAGAAGGUUAUUAGACAAAUCUAGUUGAAAUGAAAGGGUCCUUAUUUCAAGAAUUUGUUGUGGCAAAGUUCCAUUAAGCUUAUUGUGAGAGACAAUCAAUUCCAUCAAAUUCUGACAACUUCCAAGGGAUGAGGGGAUAUUUCCUUGCAAGUUGUUGAAGUCCAAUGCAAGCUUUGUUAGUAGUGUUAGAUUACCUAGAGAGGAGGGUAUGUUCCCUUCUAAAGAGUUUCCAUACAGAUAUAGUAAUUGUAAGUUUUUAAGACUACCGAUAACAUGAGGAAUAGUGCCAAUUAAUUGGUUUAAAUGUAAAGAAAAUAAAUUUAGAUUGACAAGAUUUCCUAUCCCAAGAGGUAUGGUUCCAGAUAAUUUAUUCUCCCCCAUGUCGAUUAUGGUCAUUGUUUUUGAGAGAUUGGCUAUAAAAUGCGGCAGGUUUCCUCCAAAUUGAUUCUUACGUAACCCAAGCCAUUCCAAUUUGCUACAGUUUGUCAGGGAGAAUACAAAAUCAAGGUCAUUGCUAGCCUCAGCUCCUAAAUUAUUAGCCUCAAAACUUAGCCAAGCUAGAUCCGAAAGACCGUUAAAAUCUAUGCUCACUUUUCCUGUGAAAUGAUUUUGUCCAAGGUUAAGCUCUCUGAGAUUUGAAGCAUUGGACAAUGAAUGUGGGAUAGGUCCUGUCAGAUUGUUUUGAGCUACAAUAAGAGAUUUCAGGUUUGGAAGAUUGAAACCUAUAUUAAGGGGAAGAAUACCUUCGAGUCUGUUUGCCGGUAGAAAAAUCAUCUCAAGCGAUGAGAUGUUGUAAAUUGAAACAGGAACCAUACCGGAGAAAUUAUUUUCUUCUACGUUAAGAAACUUUAAGCUUCUUAAUUGACCAAGACUUUCAGGAAUUCUCCCGUGCAGUGUAUUCUCUCCAACAUCAAAUGCCUGCAGAGCAGAAAGAUUCCCAAUGGAAGCAGGGAGCUGUCCUCUCAAAUGAUUGACAGCAAUGGACAGUUUCUCAAGCUUCGACCAGCUGCUGUAACCGAUAUCAGCUGGAAUUUCUCCCACGAGGUUGUUUUUAUGGGAUAAAAAGUUGAUGAGGUUGGAGCAACGGGACAAAUUUGUUGGUAUUUUCCCUGAAAAAGAAUUAUUUGCCACGACUAGAGUUUCAAGUCUGGAAAGACGACCAACCUCAUCCGGAAUUUCGCCAUAGAAAUUGUUGUCUCCCAGGUGGAUUAACUUGAGGAAGCUAAGAUUGCCAACAUAAGGAGACAAGGUACCUCCUAGACUUUGGUUCCUCAGAUACAACUCGGUUACCCUUUGAUGCCGACGACCACAAGUCACUCCUGUCCACUGGCAUAAGUUUACAGAAGUGUCCCACGAACUUGUUACUUCUAGUGGAUCAUGGAACUGUGACUUUAUAGCAAGUAAUGCUAGACGAUCUGUCUCGUUUGUGUGGACAGAAAAGCUGUGUGAACUAAGCAACAAACUGAAGCACCAUAUAAGAGUUGCAAGGCUGGUAGUGGUAGUAAAAAUGGAGCUAAACAUGUUUAGCGGCUGCAGGGUAUAAGAUAAUAAGACUAAUGAAAAGCGUGGCGUGAUCGUUUGAAGUUCAUGUGAAGGGUUUUUAAAGUCGAAAAAUGAGUGUACGGUAAAAUCUCUUUAUAGUCAUAAUAUGACGAGUAAAUUAUUUUUAUGAGAAGGUUAUAAUUUAAUUAAGGUUUAGUAAAAAAAACUUAUUAUUUUGGUAUAGUUAACCUUAGUGACAUAGAGAUAAAGUAUGCUUUAUAUUAAUAAUCAAUUGCUAGACCAUGUCAAAUUGAAUAUAUAAACAUUGACAAAAGAGAUAGACAUAAUUUCAAAAAGCUAUCAUAAAUUUUUUACAAUAUAAAGGUAAUUAUUAUUAUUUUAUGGAGGCAAGUUCAUGAAGAGAAAUUUAAAAAAAUUUAGACUAUUACAAUAUAAAAUUUAGGGCUUGUUUGGGAUUGUUUUUGGGAGACUCAAGAUAUUUUGAAAAGUUAAAAAUUAAUUUUAAUAUUUGAUAUAUUUUUUAAGAAUUAGUUUUGGAAAAAUUACUCUAUCGUACAAUAGAUUUUAAAAAGUAAGGAAUAGUUUUUUAAAAGAUGAUUUUGAAAAUCAUUCUUAUAUUUAAUACAAGUUUAUAUAUAUUCUCAUUUAUAUUAUAAAAAUUCAAAAUUAUCCUUUUUAAUUAAGAAGUAGAAUCAUUAAAUUUUAAAAGAUAUUAUUACUACCACUUACAUUGAGAUAACAAAAUUAAAAUUAAAAUUAAAAUUAAUAAUAUAAAACAUUUAUUUUAGCUAUCAAUUAUUAUAUGUUAUAAAAAAAAAAAUUAUACACAUGUUUAUAAAUGUUUAAAUAAAUUUUAACUAACAUUAUAUCUAAUUGAGUCAUUUACAUGAUUACAACAAUUUAACGUCAAGAUUUACCAAAUUAAUUAUUUUUAAAAAUCACAGUACUUUUAAAAAUUUAUUUAACUAAAUGUUUAACUUAUUUCGUCGUAGCUGAUUAUUUUUAUAUUACAAUCAACAAUAAUUAUUUUAAAAGUUAUAGUAUUACCAAAUUGACUCAUAUUCUUAUUUAUAACUGAUCAAAUUGUUACCGAGAUUUUUAAAAUUAUGUGAAAAUGACUUUUAUGGAAUAUCAUUGUAAAAGAAUUUUAUCAAUACAUAUAUUUUUUUCAACUGCGGCUGCGGGAUUAGGUAAGGCUAAUGAAAGCUUUUGCUAAAAAUGUGUGGGCGGUCGUUAAAAGUCACGGGUACUUGAUUAGAUUGAUACUCGUCGUUGUUCUGAGUGCAAGUUGCCUUAGCACUUUCGUGAGUGAAUGAGAUUUUUCCUUUGUUGCUUUGGCAAGAGGUCGCUUUGGUGUGAUGUCAAUAGGGAUGGCAAUUGUAUCCGUAAAUCUGUAAAUUCGCCCAAAUCCACCCGCUAAAACCCGCUCGUUGCGGGUAAUUUUAUCCGUUGCGGGCGGGUUUAGUAUUAUAAAUUAAAACCCGCACAUGGAUGCAGGUGGGUUUUGUAUUAACCUUAUAUCCGGUGGAUACUCGCAUGGAUAUCUACCAAACCCGCAAUAUUUUUUUUCAAAUAUUUUUAAUUUAAUUUAAAUAUAAAAAUGUAUAAAGAAAAUAAUGUCAUUAAUCAAAUUACCAAAUAGACAAAGGCUCAAAGUUGUGUAUGUGUGUAUGUGGUCAAUCUCUUAUUCUAAAGUCAUAACCUAAAGAAAACUAAAGGCAUUUCCCUUCGAAUUAGUAUUUGAAAAUAUUAAUCUUAAUUAUUAUUAUAGGCAUUGUGUUGGAUGGGUGCUUAUGGUGGUGAAUGAAAUGAAUAUCUUCUCUUGGAUCUUGUUUUAAAUGAUAAUAUGAAAUGUAAUUAUUAUUUUUAGAUACUAGUUUGUGUUUUUUAAAUAGAUUUGUGUAAUUUAUACUUAAAUAUGAGAAUUUGUAUUGAAUUGAUGUGGAAAUUUUAAUUUUUCAUUGACAUUGUUUAAAUAUAAAAUUGAGUAUGCUAUAUGGAAUUUGAGGUUAUUAUUAUAAAUUUAUUUAUUAAAUAUUUGUGAUUUUAAAUACGGAAAUCCGUAAAAAAUCCGCCGGAUACCAUUGCGGGUUUGGUAAUUGUUAAAACCCACUGCGGGUGGGUUUUUUUAAAAAAAUUAAAACCCGCUGCGGGUUGCGGGUGGGUUUGAUAAUUUAAAUUUUGUGCGGGUUUGGGUUUGGUAAUGACAAACCCGCUGCGGGCGGUGUCCAUUGCCAUCCCUAGAUGUCAACUUGUGAAAUAGUCAAAGGGUCUUUGGGUCUUUGCUACCUUUACAUCGUAUGCAAAGAUUUGACAAGUGAGCAAUUAGAAUUUCUCGACCUUUACGAUAGAGAAAAGCGAAAACAGUUCCCGUCCGGUCACACAACUGGCUUCAAGAGUUCCUCGCUGGUUGCAAAAAUUAAUUUCUUUUUAAUCUUUGCAAUUUGUUACAUAAAUAAAAAAACAAUUUUUGAAAUAAAAAUGAUAAAUAUAGUUGAACCUCAAUGAAUUGAUUACCAGGAUUAAAUAAUAGUUUUUAUUGGUCUCAAAUUGGGUCAACAUAUUAAAUUAAUAAUUUGAUAAAUUUAUUAAUAAUAAAAAUAAAUAUUUUAUAUUUACUAAAAUAUUAAGACUGAUCUACUAUAUAAAUUAAUAAUUUAUUAACUUGAAACUAAGGUACUGUUUAUUUUUUAAUUUAAUGACUUAAUUGAUUAAUUUUAAUUAAACCAUUGAAUCUUUUCAUUUUUUUCAACCUAAUGAAAAUUUAAUGUAAAUUGUGCAAAUUCUUGUAGUAUUAAGGGAAAAAGAUAUCUAUACCCGAAGGUUUAGAGAAAAAGUCAAGUAAAUCCUUAAGUUUUCAAUAAGGAAUAUCAAAACUCCCUUUAAUUGUAAUAUCUUUUGUAAAUAGUAAUUAAAAUUUUACUUCAAAAUUUUUAAUAAACACAAAUAUAAUUUAAACAGUUUAAUUUGUCAAGUAGACUAAUAAUAUUAGGAUAUUUUUAAUAUAUAAUAUAAUUUUUUAAAUGUAAAUUAGUGUAUUUAUUUUAAUAAUAUAUGUUAUUUAUUAUAAAAUUUUAAUUAAAUGUUUCGGUUAAAUUGAUUUUAUAAUUAAUAAAAUAUAUCUCAUGUAUUCAUAAUAUCUAAAUUAUUUUAUAUAAUAUUCAAAAUAAUGUAAAUUUUUAAGAAAUUUGUUAUAAAAUUUAGUUUAAUAUAAUAUAAGAUUGUAAAAUAUUAAAAUAUUUUUUAAAUAUUAAAAUUACCUUAAAAUGUUUAUAUUAUUAUAUUUAUUUUAAUAUUAUAUUUCUAUUUAAUAUAAAACAUUAGAGUUAAUUUUUUUGAAUUAAUAGAAUCAAAAGUUAUUAUAAUCAAAAAAGAAUUUUAAUAUCUUUUAUUAAGAACUUGAAAUCUAUAUGAUUAUUUUUCUAAAUUUUGAAGGUUUAAAUAUCAUUUCUCAUAUUAUUAAUGUCGCUUUAAAAUAGAGUACCCAAUAUUUUUAGUUCACUGAUUUCGGUCACUUGCUUUUAUAUUCAAACCAUUGCCUCCAGCUGGCCACCAAUUAUUGAAAAACAUUUUGACUCAUUACAGCCUGUUAUUAGUUUUGGUCAUAUUAUUUUCCAUCAUUCGGUUAUAGAUUUUCACAUCUAACGAUUCGUAACUAUUCUUAGGUCAUAAAUAGUAUUGAAGUAUUAUAACUUGUAAGUUAUAGUUAUUAUAAAAAAAGUAUAAUAAUGAAAUAAUAAUUUAUAAUUUAUAAUAAAUAUAAUUUUUAAAUAAUAAUUUUAAUAAAAAUAUAAUAAAAUUAUUAAAUUUUUUCAUCAUGUAAGUAUAAAAUUAAAUUAAUUUAAUUUUUAAACUAUAAUAGUUAGUAUAUUUUAUAGAUGUCCAAUCUCAAUUUUAAUCACAACCUUAAUAAUAUAAGUUAGCCAUGGCCAAAACAUCAAGUAUCAAUUAUCAAACCUGCCGUGUACGCUAUGUUUAAGUCUAGCUUGUGUGGAAUUUGUUUGUCCAUGUAUUUUAUAGACUUCAUUGAUCCAAUCCAAUCUUUUUUCCUGUGGAAAACCCUCUUUUUCCACAAAUCAAUUAAAUCAAUCGUCGAAUUAAAUACUAGACGGCGAUGUUGGUGUAAAUAUUUGAAGAUGAAGCCACGUUUGGAAGACAUGUCCGCAUGUUCAAUAAAUGCAAAAACAGCCAGUUCUGUGCAUGGCUUUAAUGCAUGCAUUGAGAGUAGUAACUUCCACAUGAUGGCAAGUUGACGAUUGGCAAUUGGUGGUCCUUUUGUCAAGAUUUGCUUGAGAUAGCGGCUGUUUCACUAGAUUUUUUACCGUAAAGUUUGAUUUCUCAAGCCAUCCUGAUACUAUAAAGAGAGCUUAAUAUAUUCGAGAGAGUAAAUCAUCCCGUUUGCUUGGGGUAAAAGUUUAUUUAAUUUUUAUAUUUUAAGAUUAGUAUUUAUUUAGUUUUUAUAUUUUUAAAAAUGUCUUAAAAUAUCUUUACUGUUAAAGUAUUGAUACUCCUACUGUUAUUUUUUAUUUCUUUUAGUUUACUUUUACAAUAUUACUCUUUUAUAAUAAUUUUUUUAUUUGGACAUUAAUUAAAAAAUAAUUAAAUUACCAAUUUAACUCUAAAAAAAAUUACAUUAAUUUUUAAUUGUCAAAAAUUAAAUUGUCAAAAAAGUCAAAAAUUAUAUGCAAACUACCAAGUGUGCAAAUGGUGCUUGUAAAAAAAAUUAAUAAAUUUUUUAUUUUUAUUUUUUAGGGUUAAAUUGAUAAUUUAGUUAUUUUUUUUUAUUAAUGUCCAAACAAAAAAAUUAUUAUAAAAGAGUAAUAUUAUAAAAGUAAGUCAAAAGAAAUAAAAAAUAACGGCAUGGAUAUUAAUACUUUAACGGUAGAAAUUUGAGAUAUUUUAAAAAAUAUAAAAAUUAAAUAGACACUAAUCAUAAAAUAUAUAGAUUAAAUAACGUUUGCGAGAGUUGCGAGCAUUUAAAUAUUGAUGGCCAAACAGAUCAGCUGUCAACAACUCAUUCCAAUAAUCCCAUGUGAGUAAUUCACAUUGAGUACUGCACCCGACGCCUGUUUCUCUACUUUUCAUGUUAACAUUAUUUUCAGUAGCAGCUGGUUACGUAGGCAACAUUUCAAAAUUAAUUAAAAAAUAAAAAUUAGUUCAGCUGACUAAAUUUGAGAGAAUGAAUUUACUGUUGGUUAAAAAUUAUUUUGCAGCAAAAUUUUUGAAUCGUAACUCUUUUACAAUAUAUAGAAUUAUCAUAAUUUAUAAAUUACAUCUUUGCUUUUUUUUUUUUAUAGUAAUUCAUAUUUUCAAGUUACGAUUUAAAUUGAAAAAAUAAAAUUAUAAGUAAGAAUUGUUUUAUGAGAAUUAAAAUAAUUGAUAAAUAACUGAGAGGGAUAAUUUUAGAAGAUUUAAAUUCUAAUAUAAUAACAAUUUUAAUUUUUCACCAGUAAGGAAUCGAAAAUCACAAUUUAUUAGAUUAGCACAUAAAAUAAUUGAGUAUUCAGAAUAAUUUUUGAAGUACAAAUAAUUGGACCCUAAUAUUUUUAAUAUAUGAAAAUCUUACUAAUAUGUUGAUGAGAAUUAAAUUAAUAAUUAAGGGAGACAUUAAGACAUUUAGAAUAGUUGAGAUGAGACGGGAUUUUGCGUUAUCCGAGAUUGAUCCUAAUUUUGAUCACACAUAUAUUAAAAAGACGAGUUUCGGUCCAUAAUUAUGUGCCAUUUGAGUAAUUAAAAUGGGAAUGUGAUUGUCGAAUUCCAAACAUUCCCGAACCAUUGCCAUCUUUACCCAAAACACUAAAAAUAUCUAAAGAAAAGUCUGCACCUAUUACAUUUUUUUUUAUCAAAUAGGAAAGAGCCCUCACGCGGCUUGAACUGGUAUCCUAAAUAAUUUUAAGAGUAUCAGACCAUGAUUGGGUUUGUGACAAAUAAAUUACAUAUUUGAGGUACAUAGUUAUUGGUGUCCUAGUUUAGGUGGCACCUACCAUUUAUUGCACAUAUAAGGUAUUAAUUGACUUAAUUAAUAAAUAAAGUUUAAAAUCUAAUUAAUUAGCGACAGAAAUGCCAAGUACAGUAUAUGUAAAUCAUAUUUGUCGAUUAUCACAAAACUAGCUCUUGAAAAUAAGUAAGAAAGCUUAAUUUGUUGAAAUGAACUCAAACUCGUAAAUCGAUCUGUCGUCUAAAGGUUGGAAAAAUGAGUGAUAUGUCAUUUCAAGCUGAUCAUGGAUCCAUAACCGACAACUUGGUGCUGUUGUCCAAGGUCGUUAAACUCUCAGGUGAGUAACAUACGCCUGUCUUAAGUCUAAACGGCACGCCUUGUCGUCGUUUUAGGAAGGGUUUAAGUUUCACGUGAAACGCUCUUGAUCAAGCAGUUAAGUUUGUUGGUUUUGGAGGGAAUCAUCUGGAUCUGUAACACCAGCAGUAGCUGAUAGAUAUGCUGGUUCUGGUUUCAUCCAGAUCGAUUGAAGAGAGAGUGAUAAGGAAGCAUUAGAGAGAGUGAAACUUUUCUGGGUGUUCUCUAUAUUGUGUUUGUCACCUCUAUAACCAUUGAAGCUUAAUAAAAUUACUCCAUGAGUUGUUUUCUCCAGUGCACGUAGGCACUGUUAAAGGUGCUGAACCACUUAAGUCUUUGUGUGUUCUUAAUUCUUUCUGUUGAUUUUCCUUUGAUCUGGUGAUUGCUACGACUUGCUUAGACUUGGUUCUUAAAUCUUAGAGUCUUAAUUAGAUCUUGGGGUGAGAUAAAUCUGGUGUAAAGAGGGUUUGUUUCAAAACAAUUGGUAUCAAAGCUUUAAUUCUGAUUCCAAGGUUCAAGAAUGGCUUCAAAGGUGGAUAUUGAGAAGUUUACAGGGCAGAAUGACUUUAAUAUGUGGAAGAUCAAGAUGGAGGCUUUGUUGAUCACUCAGGGUCUGGGAGAUGCCAUAGAUCCAUCUCUAAACUUGAAGGAAAUGAAGCUUCAUCAUCCAAGACCCCAGAACAAGCAGUAGAGAGACAAGAAUGCUAGAAGCACAAUUAUUCUAAGUCUGGGUGACUCUGUAAUCAGAAAAGUGGCAAAAGAAAAGACUGUUGCUAGUUUAUGGGCCAAGUUGGAGAACUUGUAUAUGACAAAGUCUUUAGCUAAUAGGCUUUACAUGCAAGAAGAAGAUGUUCUCACUGAAGAUGAUUGAAGGAGCAUCACUUGAUGAGCAUAUAGAUGAGUUCAAUAAGGUUUGUGAUGAAUUGGAAACCAUUGAUGAAGGACUGAGUGAUGAGAGCAAGGCUCUGCUGUUAAUCAGUUCUUUACCAAAGUCGAGCACUUUGUGGAUGCCUUGUUAUAUGGGAGACAAACACUCUCUCUGGAAGAGGUUAAAUCUACUCUUGGCACCAAGAAGUUGAAAGACAAGCAAGAUAAUCCAGAAAGUGAAUCAAGUGAGGGGUUGAUGGUUAGAGGCAGAUCUGAAAAGAGGGAAAACAAGGGAAAGAAACAAGGCAGAUCAAAGUCCAAAUAGAAGCAUUUGAAGUGUUUUCAUUGCCAUAAAGAAUGGCAUUUCAAAAGAGAUUGCCCUGAAAGAAAGAACAAAAAUAAAAAAAACCAAGGAAAAGACAAGAAGUGCAGCCAUAGCCACAAAAUAUGCAAGCUUUGAAAUAGUUGGAGUGCUCAUUGCCUCAAAUGAAAAACUUCAAGGUCAUUGGGUUCUUGACUCAGGUUGUACCUUCCAUGUGUCCAAAUAGAAGCUACAUUACUACAUAUCAGCUGUGUGAUGGGGUAUGAUUUUAAUGGGUAAUAACUAAAUGUGUAAAGUGGUUGGUAUUGGGAUUGUUAGCCUUAAAAAGUUUGAUGGUGUGGUGAGGGAAUUAACACAGGUUAGGUUUGUUCCUGACUUGAAAAGAAACUUGAUCUCAAUUGGCAUGCUAGAUCUAAUAGGUUGUGUCAUUAGGGCUAAAAAAAUAAGUGUUGAGGAUAAUUAAAGGCUCAAUGGUGAUUAUGAAAGGUAUAAAAGAAAAUAGCUUAUAUGUGUUGGAUGGACAUACUGUUGUUGGAGAGGCAAGUGUAACUGGCAGUGGUGGGAACAAAUCAGUGUUGUGGCAUUUUAGGCUGGGGCAGAUGAGUGAGAGAGGCUUAAAAGAAUUACAAUGGAACAUUGAGGACAGAUAAUGGCUUGGAGUACUGUAAUAAGUUGUUUGAAGGAGUAUUGCGAGGAGAAUGGGAUUUAGAGGCACAAAACUAUCACUUAUACUCCUCAACCAAAUGGCCUUGCUGAGAGGAUGAACAGAACCUUGGUGGAGAAAGUAAGGUGCAUGUUGAUCUACUCUAAACUUCUAAAAACUCUAUAGGCAGAAACUUUAAACACUGUAUGCUAUCUAGUCAAUAGGAGCCCAUCAACUGCCAUAGGAUGUAAAAAACCAAUGGAACUGUGGUCAGGAAGAAUAGCUGACUAUUCAAAACUCAAAAUCUUUGACUGUAUAGCAUAUGCUCAUGUAAAGUAAGGUAAAUUGGAACCAAUAGCAUUAAAGUGUAGGUUUCUAGGGUAUCUAGAAGGUGUCAAAGGCUAUAGAUUGUUGUGUGUUGAUUCCAAGCCACCUCAGUGUAUAAUAAGUAGAUAUGUAACUUUCCAUGAAGAUGAGAUCUUGAAUCAAUCAAGGAGUCCUAUCAACGGCUCUAAAUUAGGCGCUGAGUCUAAUAAAGUGAAGUUUCAAGUGGAGCCUCAUACCUUGAAAAAGCUUGAUCUAGAAAUUAAGAGUGCUAAAAAAGAACUUAAAGCUGGUGUUAAGCAUGAAUCAGUAGAAAGUGAAGAGGACACCUAUCAAUUGGCAAGAGACAGAAAGAGAAAGAUUAUUAGACCACCUAAGAGAUAUGCAAUGGCUGAUUUAAUUGCAUAUGAUUUGAUUGCUAUUCAAAAGUUGAAUGAUGAUGAACUAGGACUUAUCAAGAAGCUAUCACAAGCAAAAGCAAGCUGGAAUGGAGGAAGGUAAUGGAUGAGGAAAUGACAUCUCUAAUAAAGAAUAAAACUUGGGAAAUGAUUAUAAAACCAGAAAAGAGGAAGAUAGUAAGCUAUAAAUAAAUCUUCAAGAUAAAAAGAAGGGAUAUCUGGUGCUGAGCCUAGAAUAUUUAAACCUAGACUGGUGGCAAGGGGUUUCACACAAAAGGAAGGUAUUGACUUCACUGAAGUUUUUUCCCCAGUGGUGAGACAUGCUUCCAUCAAAAUUAUUCUUACACUUGUUGCUAUUCAGGACAUGUAUCUUGAGCAAAUGGAUGUCAAAACAGCUUUUUUGCAUGGUAAGUUACAAGAAUAGAUUGUAAUGCAGCAGCCAGAGGGGUAUGUGGUUUUUGGUAAAGAAGAUCAUGUUUGUUUACUUAAGAAGUCUCUAUAUGGUUUGAAGCAAUCACCUAGACAAUGGUAUCUGAGGUUUGACAGCUUCAUGAUAACACAUGCCUUUAAUAGAUGCAGUUAUAAUUUUUGUGUGUAUUUCAAGAAGAUAAGUGGAGGAAGGAUGAUAUAUCUCUUAGUGCAUGUAGAUGAUAUGCUAAUUACAUGUCAUGACAAGAAAGAAAAUGAUCAUAUGAAGAAACUCUUAAGCAGGGAAUUUGAAAUGAAGGAACUUGGGGAACCUAAGAGGAUUUUAGGGAUGGAUAUUAUCAGGGAUAAGAGUAAGAAGGUUUUGUUUUUAACUCAAUAGAGCUACAUUAAAAGGGUUCUGGUGAGGUUUGGAAUGAAUGAUGCUAAGCAAGUGCAGACACCAUUGGCAAACCAUUUCAAGUUGUCUGCUGGAUAGUGCCCCCAAACUGAUGCAGAACCACAAAAAAUGGCUUGUAUACCCUACUCAAGUGUUGUGGGUAGCCUCAUGUACGCCAUGAUACUCACCAGGCCUGAUAUCUCACAUGUUGUGAGUAUGGUAAGUCGGUUUAUGGCAAAUCUAAGCUAUGAACAUUGGAAAGCUAUUCAGUGGAUUAUGAGAUACCUCAAAGGGACUUUGGAGGUUAGUUUGAUUUAUGGUGGAAAGGAUAGCAAUGGACAUACAUUGAUUGGUUAUGUAGAUGUUGACUUUGUUGGUGACCUUGAUAAAAAGAGGUCACAAAUAGGGUAUAUGUUUACUCUAGGGGGUUGCACAGUUAGCUGGCAAGCAACAUUACAGAACAUAGUGGCUUUGUCCACUAUAGAGGCAGAGUAUACUGCAGCAGUUGAAGCCUUUAAAGAAGCCAUUUGGCUGAAAGGCAUGAUAACUGAGCUAGGAGUUGAGCAAGGGACUGUAACAGUAUACAGUGAUAGCCAGAGUGCCAUACAUCUCAGUAAAAAUCAAACUCAUUACGAGAAGACAAAACAUAUAGAUAUUAAGUUGCACUUUGUGAGACUUGAAGUGUCAAGGGGGACUGUUAAGUUGCUGAAAAUUCAUACUGAAGAAAAUCUAGUAGACAUGUUAACCAAGGUUGUGCCCACUACCAAGUUCAUCCUUUGCAUGUAUUUAGCAAGAAUCUGCAGGUUUUAAGAAGCUGCAGAUGAGGAGAAAACAAACAGAGAAGAGGGAGUUAUGAGUGUUGAGUUCAAGGUGGAGAUUGUUGAAAUAAACUCAAAUGAACUCAAACUCGUUAAUUGAUUUGUCGUUUAAAGGUUGGAAAAACGAGUGACAUGUCAUUUCAAGCUGAUCAUGGAUCCAGAACCGACAACUUGGUGCUGUCGUCCGAGGUCAUUAAACUCUCACGUGAGUAACAUAUGCAUGUCUUAAGUCUAAACAGCACGCCUUGUCGUCGUUUUAGGAAGGGCUUAAGUUUCACGUGAAAGGCUCUUGAUCAAGCAGUUAAGUUUGUUGGUUUUGGAGGGAAUCAUCUGGAUCAGUAAUGCCAGCAGCAACUGAUAUAUAUGAUGGUUCUGGUUUCAUCUAGAUCGAUUGAAGAGAGAGUGAUAAGGAAGCAUUAGAGAGAGUGAAACUUUUCUGAGUGUUCUCUGUAUUGUGUUUGUCACCUCUGUAACCAUUGAAGCUUAAUAAAAUUACUCCCUGAGUUGUGUUCUCCAAUGGAUUUAGGCACUGUUAAAGGUGCUGAACCACUUAAGUCUUUGUGUUCUUGAUUCUUUGUGUUGAUUUUUCUUUGAUAUAGUGAUUGUUACGACUUGCUUAGAUUUGGUUCUUAAAUCUUAGAGUCUUAAUUAGAUCUUGGGGUGAAAUAAAUCUAGUGUAAAGAGGGUUUGUUUCACAACAUAAUUAAUAACUUAAAAUUAAAGGAAUUAGAUUGAGAAUAGUUUUUUUUUUAGGAUGGAGGCUCCUAAAUGUUCAAGAAUCAUUAUGUGCUUAUUAAAAUUUCAAAAUCAUUUGGAUUAUGACAUAGCAAAAAUUUGAUAGUACAUAUGUUGGAAUACAUCAAUUCAUAGAUGCAUUUGAUUAUUGUUUUCAUAAAUUUUAACUAGGAAGGAUGACAUGAUAAAAUUUGAUUUUAUUGUAUGGUUGAUUUCAUAUUUCAUGUGCUCAUUUCUUAAUAUAAUCAAAUUUGAUCUCGCAUAUUUUGCAACUGUAUAAAUAUCAAUUAUGAUCAAUCAAAAUGAUUUCAACACGUUUCAACCAGACAUAUUUAUAAUACAAUAUUGUCAAAAUUACACCAAAAAUUUAGUUUAUUACAUAUUAUUAUCCAAUGAGCACACAAAAAUGAAUUUGUACAAAUUUAGUUUUGGGAUGCUGUAGCUCUUAAAAUAAUUGUUGUUAGUUGUGCUGUAGAAAUAAUUUGCUGUGAAAAGAAUCAAUUAAUUGUUGGGUAAAUUUUAUUUUCAGAAAUACUGUGAGUUUUGAAAACAGUUAUGGAAGUUUGGUAAAUUUUACUGUUAAACUGCUGAAAGAAAACAAAUGAUUAAAAUGUAUAUAAUGUAGAAUAAAAUUUACUUAUACAUAUAAAAACAUGUACAUAUAAUAUUUUUAAUUAUGUAUUAUACUAAUUUUUACUAAAAAUAAAAUUUAUAAUAUAUUGAUUUUUUUAUAUUUUAACCUUAAAACAACUGUUAAUUAAAUUUAUAAUAUAGUGAAACAAGUUUAAUAAUAAUUCGAUCAACAAAUUGAUAUUAAUAAAUUUAUAUUGAUGAAUUACAAUAAAAAUUUAUUAAAAUAUUAUUUUUUUUUCAAUUUGAAUAAGGAUAAUUUUGGAUUUAGAUAAUAAUUUUGAGGAUAUUUAUAAAAUUAUAUUAAAUGAUAAAUUAAUUCUCAAAAUUAGAAUCUAAAAAAUACUCCAUCCCUACUUUUCAAAAUCAACUAUAGGAAAAGUUGAUUUUGACAGAAAUAAUUUUAAUUUUUUUACUAAAUACUAAAAUUAACUUUUAAUUUUUUAAAAUUACUUUAAAACCCAAAUUCAAAACGACCCUUAAACCAAUUUUGCAAAAGCAGCCGUUACAUGUAUCACCAACUUUUUAACAGUCAGCUGCUUUUGUGACCGUUAUGCAACGGCUAGAUUGCUGUCACUUAUGUUACUAACCACGUGACGGUAAAGAGCCAAUUGGCAUACUAUUAUUUUAAAGUUUUAAAUUUGUUUCUAAAUAGAAAAUUAUUCGCUGGAGUCAAUAUUUUGAAAACCAAAGUCCUAAAUUCUCUCUUGUGCGUGCCGGGCCAGCAUCCUAAACCUUACUGGUUGCCGGAGAAUGGCGUAAAACGGCGGUGAUCUUCUUCUUCAUCUUAUUCUCUCUCAUCGUUUCAGGUAAGCUUGUGAUUAUGAGUUUCUUGUCUUUCUUAGCUUGUAAUUAUAGAUUUUGAUUUUUUAAUUCGUAUUGUAGCCGUUAAUGUAAAUUUUUGUCCCGCUGGCAAAUUUUUUUGUUCCUACAAGUUGAAGCCCUUCUGUUCUUGUUCCAUUAGUGACUUUGCUCCCUCAAAUUAAUUUCGUUCGGCGGAAUUUACAAAGUUCAAAUGGAUUCAUUUGGAUUACUAUUGAAUUUAGCUUUCAUUUCUGUAGAAUCACUGUACAUAUUAGCAUUUAGAUUUUAUUGAUUUAUUAUUUUAUUACCUAAUAAGGAGAUUUAGUUGUUGACUAAUUCUAAUUUUAGUUAGUCUCAUAAUUUAGUGGGAUUCCUGAUUUGAAGGAAUUUGCUUCUGAUUUAGUGAGCUGGAAUACCGGCCAGCUUAAUAUAUAUGUAUCCUCAUGUAGUUCAUUGGAAUAAGACUGAAUGAGAAUAACUCUUUUUCUCUGAAAUUAACAUGGUAAAAAAGCCUCAUACGAUCCUCCUCUGAAAACCUAAUCUUGUGAAUUUCAUUCCCUAUUCUCAUUCCAAUCAAUACCUUACAAAUCUUCUAUCCUUCAAGCUUUCAUCUGCAAUAUUUUUUUUUCUCGAUUCCUCUAAACCAAAACAUGACAAAAAUAGGAGCAGCGUUGCAAACCUCCUCCUCUGAGAUCACGUCUAAAUCAGAUUCAACCCCGAUGAUAGCCACUCAUGGUAACUCCGAAUCUGGAUCCAUUCUUAUUGCCAGCUAUAAAUUAAAUGGACAGAACUACCUCCAAUGGUCCCAAUCUGUGUUAAUGUUUAUUUCCGGGAAAGGUAAAGAUGAAUAUCUCACCGGUGAGAUUGAAAUUCUUGAGAAAGGAGAUCCAAAAUACAGGCUAUGGAAGAGUGAUAACAUCAUGAUUAUGUCAUGGCUGAUAAAUUCCAUGAACAAUGAUAUAGGUGAAAAGGAGACAUACUCAAGUUCUGAGAACACAGCAGAACUAUUCCAAAUUGAGAUUAUCUUGCACGAUUUCCGUCAAUAGAAUCUCUCUGUCACACAGUAUUUCAACACUCUAACAAGGCAUUGGCAGCAACUUGAUAUGUUUGAUACUCAUACAUGGAAGUGUGCAGAUGAUGCAGUCACUUACAAAAAAAUCGUGGAGCAAAAAAGGAUCUUCAAAUUCCUAUUAGGAUUAAACAAGGAGUUGGAUGAAGUAAGGGGACGAAUUAUGGGGACUAAACCACUGCCCAAUAUUAGAAACUUGUUCUCUGAGGUUAGGCGUGAAGAAAGCAGGCGCAAGGUGAUGAUGUGAUCUCAAGAAGUUACAACUAAUCCGUCACUGCUUGACAGUUCUGCGCUUGCUGUCUGAGGAACCAACACUAGCUCCAAUGACAAUCGUCAACAACGAGGAAGGCCCUGGUGCGACCACUGCCGCAAGUCUGGACACUGGAAAGAAAGUUGUUGGAAACUUCACGGGAGACCAGCUGAUUGGAAGCCAAACAAGCCUAACUAUGAUAAAGAAAGCCGUGCUAAUGCAGCUUCAUCAACGGAGGAGAAAACUUCAAGUGAAACAAGUGGAUUCAGCAAAGAACAAAUGGAAAUUCUGUAGAAAAUGAUCUGCCAUAGUCUUUCGCAAUCUACUAGCCAACUUUAAGCAAUUAGUAUGAAGGCACAGUGAACUAGUUUUCCUGUUGCUCUUAAUACUAGCAGUGACCAAGGUGAAUCAUGGAUUGUAGACUCUGGCGCAUCCGACCAUAUGACAGGGGAUGCAACACUCUUGCACAAUUACUGUCCUCAAACGAGUAAUUCUUCUGUUCGUAUAGCAGAUGGUUCUCUCUCCUUGGUCUUGGGAAUAUGAUCUGCUCAUCUAACAGAAGAUAUAAUUCUCACCCCUGUUCUUCACGUUCAAAAUCUGGACUGUAAUUUACUUUCAGUUAGCAAAUUUAGCCAAGAUCUUAAUUGUGUUGCUAAAUUUUUUCCACGCUUGUGUGAAUUUCAGGGAAUGGAAUCGGGGAAGACGAUUGGCAGUGCUGAGUUGGUGUCAGGUCUCUACCUAUUUAGAGCCAAUUAUCCUCCAAGUAGACAAACUGGUUACUCAAGUUGCAACAUGUCCACUAGUGUAUCAAAGAGUCUGUUGUCACUUCAUUCUUCUAUUUUCAAUUCUAGUGUUAAUAAUGUGGAUGAAAUCAUGCUAUGGUACUUUCGCCUCGGCCAUCCCAACUUUGUGUAUCUAGGAAAAAUAUUUCCUAAACCGUUCAUCAAUAAAAAACCAAAUUCAUUUCAUUGUGAAAUAUAUCAAUUUGCUAAACUUACACGUGCAAAUUUUCCUUCAAUUCCUCACUUACCUACCCGUCCAUUCACCAUGAUUCAUAGUGAUGUAUGGGGUGCAUCAAGAAUUAAAAGCCUCACGGGGGCUCGCUGGUUUGUGUCUUUUGUGGAUGAUCACACUCGUCUGACUUGGAUAUUUCUCAUGAAAGAAAAAUCUGAAGUUAACCAUAUCUUCCAGAAAUUUCAUAUGAUGGUCCAAAAUCAGUUCAAUGCUCAAAUCCAAGUCUUUAAAACCGACAAUGCUAGAGAAUACUUCAAGUCCCAUCUUUCACAUCAUGGCAUAAUACAUACUAGCUCAUGUGUAGAUACCCCUCAGCAGAACGAAGUGGUUGAAAGAAAAAAUCGCCACCUUAUUGAGGUAGCUCGGGCACUCUUAUUUACAUCUAAUAUGCCGAAGUAUUUCUAGGGUGAGGCAAUCCUUACUGCGGCUUACCUAAUCAAUCGAAUGCCUUCUAGGGUUCAUAAAUUUCAAAGUCCUCAUCAAGUUCUCCUCAAAACAUAUCCUCACACCAAAUUUAUCUCCUUAGAUGUUCCUAUAAGAGUUUUUGGGUGCUCAGCCUUUGUUCAUAAUCAUUUCCCAAAUAGAUCCAAAUUAGAUCCUAAAUCCAUCAAAUGUGUCUUCUUAGGUUACUCAUCAAACCAAAAGGGUUACAGAUGCUACUCUCCCAUUACCAAAAGGGUCUACAAUUCAAUGGAUGUCACUUUCUUUGAACAUGAAUCUUAUUACCCAAAAUCUGACAUUCAGGGGGAGAAUGUAAGGGAAUCUCAAUUUUGGGAUGAACUUCUCAUCAAAGAAUCCUCUGAAAUUUAGCAUGCAUCUCCACCUCUUGUCCUUCUUCCCUCAGAUUCAAACUACACACCAAACCCCAACCUUGAAAUUCCAUCGUCUAACAGUCCAUCAUCCUCAAAACAUAGGUCUACACAACUUGAAUCUUCCCAGCUCCGUGUCUAUACUAGGAGGAAAAAUGAAAACAAGGAGAGUGAGAACCUUGCACCUCUCAUGCAUUGCCAUGACUCCAACCCGAAUUCUAAUCCUGCUCAAGUUCACUCAAGUGAGGCCGAUCAUUCUCCUGAGUUAAUUGUGCCGAUGAUUGAUGAUGCUGAUGUUCCUAUUGCUCUAAGGAAGAGUGUAAGAUCCUGUACCAGUCAUCCGAUUGAAAAUUUUGUGAGCUAUAACUCUCUUUCUCCAGCAUACAGGGCAUUCAUUACUUCCCUUGACAGUGUACAAAUUCUGAGAACUAUUCAUGAGGCUCUUAAACAUCUAGGAUGGCAGAAAGCUGUACAGGAUGAGGUUACUGCACUUGAAAAGAAUAGAACAUGGGUAAUCACAGAUUUACCAGCUGGAAAAAGACCAGUAGGUUGCAGGUGGAUAUUUACCAUCAAACACAAAGUAGAUGGAAGCAUUGAAAGACUCAAAGCUCGGUUAGUUGCUAAGGGAUUUACACAAUCUUAUGGUAUUGACUAUCAAGAAACUUUUGCUCCAGUUGUCAAACUUAAUACCAUCCGAGUACUCCUUUCACUUGCUGCUAAUUUUGAUUGGUCAUUACAUCAACUAGACAUUAAGAAUGCUUUUCUAAAUGGCGACCUUGAAGAAGAAGUCUAUAUAGAAGUGCCACCUGGGAUAGAAAGUUCUCACACUAAAAGCAAGGUAUGUAAACUGCUAAAGUCUCUCUAUGGACUCAAGCAAUCUCCUCGUGCAUGGUUUGGUAGGUUUGCCAAGUUUGUGACCAAAUGUGGGUAUAAACAGUGCCAAUCAAAUCAUACCUUGUUUGUUAAGUUCUCAACAAAGAAGAAAAUUGCAGUUUUGAUCGUCUAUGUUGAUGAUAUCAUUCUUACUGGUGAUUUUGAGGAAGAAUUACAGUUUUUGAAACACCGUUUAGCUCAGGAAUUUGAUAUUAAGGACCUCGGUAAUUUAAAAUACUUCAUUGGCAUGGAGAUAGCAAGGUCAAGAGAAGGCAUUGCAGUGACCCAACGAAAAUAUGUAUUGGAUUUGUUGAUGGAAACAGGGAUGCUCGGCUGUAAACCAGCAGAUACACCCAUGGACUCAAGCAAAACGUUUGGCACAGAAUCAGAGAGUGUUCUUGUGGACAGGGGGAGAUACCAGAGACUUGUUGGACGGCUAAUCUAUCUCUCCCAUACAUGCCCAGACAUUGGAUUUGCUGUCAGUUCAGUGAGUCAAUUCAUGAACAAUCCAAGGGAAGAGCAUAUGGAGGCCGUGUAUAGGAUCUUAAGGUACCUUAAGUUGACACCUGGGAAGGGAUUAAUGUUCAGGAAAAACAACAAACGGGAGAUUGAUGUAUACACUGAUGCAGACCACGCAGGGAACAUAAUGGACAGGCGCUCUACUUCUGGCUAUUGUUCAUAUGUUUGGGGAAAUCUUGUUACAUGGAGAAGUAAGAAACAGUCGGUUGUCUCUCAAAGCAGUGCAGAAUCUGAGUUCAGAUCAUUGGCAAUGGGUAUUUGUGAAGGUAUUUGGAUUCAUCAAUUACUUAGAGAGUUGGGAAUUAUAAAUAAGCAACCUAUCAGGUUAUUCUGUGAUAACCAGGCAGCAAUCAGCAUUGCUAAAAACCCAGUGCACCAUGAUAAGAUGAAACAUGUUGAGAUUGAUCACCACUUCAUCCUAGAGAAGAUCGAAAAUAACACUGUCCAUAUUGUCUACAUUCCUACUCAACAUCAAACUGCAGACAUCCUUACUAAAGCUCUUCCAAGAACUAGAUUUGAAGAAUUGAGUUGCAAACUAGGCAUGUACAAUUUGUACAACCCAGCUUGAGGGGGAGUGUAGAAUCACUGUACAUAUUAGCAUUUAGAUUUUAUUGAUUUAUUAUUUUAUUACCUAAUAAGGAGAUUUAGUUGUUGAUUAAUUCUAAUUUUAGUUAGUCUCCUAAUUUGGUGGGAUUCCUGAUUUGAAGGAGUUUGCUUCUGAUUUAGUGAGCUGAAAUACCGGCCACCUUAAUAUAUAUGUAUCCUCAUGUAGUUCAUUGGAAUAAGACUGAAUGAGAAUAACUCUUUUUCUCUGAAAUUAACAAUUUCUAUAUUCAUUCUAAUGUUUUACAAUUAUGUAUUUAUAUUUACUUUAAUUUUAUGUUUAAAGCUUCUACAUUGAAUAGCUGAGCUUGGGUCUUAGUUUCAUUUUCUAAUUAACUUGUUUUAGUUUAUCUUAUAUGCUCACCAAGGGCUUGUUAUAUUGUCUGAUAAGUUAUAUAACAUUGCUAAUUCUAUAUUAAUAACGUCAUGUUUUAUUUUCAGAAAUUAUAAUAUAAAAGUUUUUACAAUGGCAAGCAUCUACAAACUGAAUUGACUUGUAGAAUAAGAGCUUCGAGUAGUGUUAUGAUCUUGAAUAAAUGAAAGUUCAUAUUGUGUAAGAGCAUGUAGAUGUAAAACAUCAUUACCAUUUCUACAAAGUGCUUUCAUUCUGUUCAGAUGCUCCUCUUGAACUUUGAAACGUGCCUCAUUCAAGUCCUGGCUAUAACUACUAGCUAUAUUGAAAGUAUUUGAAAACUUUUUUAACAUGAAUGACUUCUAAAUGACUUACAAACCUAAAGCAUAUGUGAAAUAAUGCUCAUUUCACUUGAACGAGCCUAUUAAUACUUGUAUGUCUAUGAUUGUUAAUAUUGGCUUAAGCGUUUCAGUUAAAUGGUUUACAUAACAGGGAAAAAAAUUUAAUGGAAAACUUUAGAGUUCUAACAGAAAUAUAAUUGACUAUGCAGAUAUAGUUAUUUUAUGGUAUACAAAUCAUGUUGCCUUAAUCUCAAUGUCCUAUGACCUAUUUUAUUUUAUAGAGUCAUUCAUUUUUGCCAUGGCUUUUUGUGUUUAUGAGCAUGGAAAUAGUGGGAGUUGGUGUAUCUUAGCAUCUUUGGAAAAUUCUCUUUAAAUGUGGCAAACAAAAAUAUACAUAUAAUCAAGUUUCUUAAUCAACUAUCAUAACUGGCUAGCUAGUUCUUGCCUGCCUUGCUGCCAUUACCCAGGCCAUUACAUUGCAUAGCAUAAUGAAUAGUGAUUAGGUGAUUAUGAGUGAUUCAUUGAGCGUAUUAUUGACCAAACAAACAUAUUCGUCUUUACCCACAACUUAGUUUGAUUAGUUAUUAGACCAUAAAGAGCGGUAAUCUGUUCAUUGGCUUUGUUAUUUUAUUUGGUUUUUCUUUCAACAAUACUGUUGAUUUCUUAUAAAAAUAUUCAUUGGUUUCUAAACACCUAAUCAUUGGCUAUAAUGAAGCUAAAUGAAACUGAGGCUUUGGAUCAAUUUCUUCUAACAAGAUACAAAUGAGCAUAUAACCUAUAUCCUCUAAGUAAAUUUUUCUAAUAUCCCUGAUUUGUUAGGAUCUGGAGGCCUGAAAUCCUCUAGAUUUUUUUAACACUGUCAAUGUUCUUUUUACUCUGAAAAGGGGAAAAAAAGGUUAUAUCUUUCUUACCCUAAGAGUAAGUUGGCAUUGACUUAAUAACAUGCGUUCCCAAGGAUUUGCAAGAUUCACAAGCAGCUUAAACAAAACCCCCCCCCCCCCCCUCCCCGGAAAAAAAAAAAGAAAGAUUUUGCAAGAUUCACAACCAGGUUAUAUUUAAUUUAUUAAUUGUGUGCACGUACUAGUUAUAUGUUGAAAGAAUAGGAAAAAGUAUUUUAACAUGAAUAACUUAAAACUUAUUGCUCAGUUAACAUAAUCUGCAUCAGUACUAGAAAAUGUAUUUAUUGUUUGUAUUUUUUAUGGAUUUGCUUAAGAAAUGAUACGCGAAAUAAUGUUACAUUGUAUUAGGAAUAAAUUGAAGAGAUUCAUGAUAUUUAUGUGUUAUUCAAAUUUCAGAUUGAAUUUUAAACUUUCAAUACAUGCAUUGAAAGCUUAGAUCGUUUAAGAAAUUAUUAAUAGACACAUGUUUUAUUAGUGUCGUCUUUGGAUGAUAGGGAGGAUCAUAUGUCUAUUAAUAAUUCUUGAAUUGUCUAGGCUUGAACUGUUUGGGAAUGCAUAGUUUUCUAUGGUAGCUAGUAGCUGAAGUUUUUUUCCUGCAUAAAAAUGGGUUUUUCGCUAGCUGCUUCUCAUCUUCUUUGGGUGCAUACUAGAUAACACACAAACACUCAUAUAUCUAUGUCGUGUGCUUGGAGAACUAUUGGGAGAUGCUGCCGAAAUUUCUAUAAACGUAGAAGAAAACUUUAAAGUACUUGAAAUUGAAGAAACUUAUGCAUUCUUGAGAGGGAUAUAUGGGAUCACUUACCUUUUGUAAAUAUGAAGGGAGUGUUGGACAUAUUGAUGGGAGUGGAGGAGCUGAGUUGGAUGGAUGUAAUCGGUUAUGGUUUUGCUGAGUUAACUUGGUUUUGAGCUUGUAAUUUUGUUUAUAAAUGGAGUACUAUCUCCAAUGUUGGUUUAUAAAUAUGUUUCAGCUGGCUGACCUAAUUUUUUGUUUCUAGGCAACAGGUUUUAUAUCUGUAAUUGAUAGCCAACUGAAGUUCUCAGCUGUGGUUGAGGAUAUUUCUUUACAGAAGGUAUUGGAAACCCUUUUUUACAUUAAUUAUUGUUGUAUAUAUACUUUAAUUUUCACAUCUUUUUCUCUGAUUCUUGUUGAUUUGCUUGCUUUCAUAUAUAUAAAUUCUAAUGAAAUUAACCAUAAAAUUGCAUAAUGAUUUUUUAAUUAUAUUGCAAAACUGUGCACACACGAAAAUAUAUCUUGGUCAGUAGUAGAAAUGCAGAACUAAAAUGAUUUAAUUUUUGUAGUGCAUUAAAAGGAGAUGGUAAUGGAGAAGAGUUGAGUUGGUUUGGCAAAUAGAUAUCCAAGUUAUAUACUGAUGGGGUUGAAAAAUUUAUAGAUUUUGCAUUUGAGAAUGUUGUUGGUGAUGCAAGAAUUUAUUAUCCUUGUAAGAAGUGUCGAAUAUUUCGUUUUAAGGGAAGUAGCAAGAGACCAUAUCGUUAUAAAUGGUUUUUG